GGCUACAGCCAUGCCACCCUGAACACACUUCCAAUCUCAUCUGAUCUCGGAAGCUAAGCAGGGUCGAGCCUGGUUAGUACUUAGAUGGGAGACCACCUAGGAAGACCAGGUGCUGUAGAAG
rnacentral:rRNA from 1 species